GUCCUUUUGGUGGUAAUUUAAGGUCUGACCUGCCCACUGAUAGAAUUGAAGGGCCGCGGUAUUUUGACCGUGCAAAGGUAGCAUAAUCAUUAGUCUUUUAAUUGGAGGCUGGAAUGAAGGGUUGGACGAGGCAUAGACUGUCUCAUUAUAAAUGGAGCUGGAAUUUAACUUUUGAGUGAAAAGGCUUAAAUAAAUUUAAAGGACGAGAAGACCCUAUAGAUCUUUAUAUUAGGGGCUGUAUUAAUAGUUUAGUAGGUGAUUUUUAUUAGAGAGUCUAGUAUUUUGUUGGGGUGACGGGAAGAUAAAAUAAACUCUUUUUUGCAGGGAGCACUGAUUUGUGUAUAGAUGAG
rnacentral:rRNA from 1 species